GAUGAACGCUGGCGGCGUGCCUAAUACAUGCAAGUCGAGCGAACAGACGAGGAGCUUGCUCCUCUGACGUUAGCGGCGGACGGGUGAGUAACACGUGGAUAACCUACCUAUAAGACUGGGAUAACUUCGGGAAACCGGAGCUAAUACCGGAUAAUAUAUUGAACCGCAUGGUUCAAUAGUGAAAGACGGUUUUGCUGUCACUUAUAGAUGGAUCCGCGCCGCAUUAGCUAGUUGGUAAGGUAACGGCUUACCAAGGCGACGAUGCGUAGCCGACCUGAGAGGGAGAGCGGCCACAGUGGAAAUGAGACACGGACGAGACUCCUACGGGAGGCAGCAGUAGGGAAUCUUCGGCAAUGGGCGAAGGCCUGACGGAGCAACGCCGCGUGAGUGAUGAAGGUCGUCGGAUCGUAAAACUCUGUUAUUAGGGAAGAACAAAUGUGUAAGUAACUAUGCACGUCUUGACGGUACCUAAUCAGAAAGCCACGGCUAACU
rnacentral:rRNA from 1 species